GAUGCACGCUAGCGGCAGGCCUAAUACAUGCAAGUCGAACGAUACCAUCUGGCUUGCCAGAUGGGAAAGUGGCGCACGGGUGCGUAACGCGUAUGCAACCUACCUUAAUCAGGGGGAUAGCCCGAAGAAAUUCGGAUUAACACCGCAUAAAAACACAGUACAGCAUUGUACAAUGUUCAAAUAUUUAUAGGAUUAAGAUG
rnacentral:rRNA from 1 species